rnacentral:rRNA from 1 species
UCUUAUUAAAGUAUGAUAAGAGAAAGAAAUGUAAUUUUUGCUCUUAGAAGUCUGUAUCUCGUGUAGUUGUAGUAGUUAAGGUAAAAGCUUAACUAGCUUUAUAUACGUAGUCGAAACUGAGAGGUUGAUCGAUCACAAUGGGCCUGAAUAAAGCCCAUGAUGAAUAUUACAGCAGUGAGGAAUAUUGGUCAAUAGCCUAACGGCUGAACCAGCAACUUGGAGGAAUGUAUAGCGAUAGCUAAUUGUUUAUUGAAUAAAAUUCUGGGUAGAAUUAUGAUUAUGACAUUGUCUACCCAUGUGUCUUGACCAAAUUACGUGCCAGCAGUCGCGGUAAUACGUAGAAGACUAGUGUUAUUCAUCUUUAAUAGGUUUAAAGGGUACCUAGACGGUAAAUCAAGCCCUAGACGGGACUAAUUUGCUAGAGUUACUUGUGAGGGGGUUUUAAAGUACUAAUGGUGUAGAGAUGAAAUUUUGUAAUACCAUUUUUCGAAAGGAAAGUAAUGGCACAGGUAUAGGCGAAAGCAUCCCCUUAUGUGAUAACUGACGUUGAAGGACGAAGGCUUUGAGUCGCGAACAGGAUUAGAUACCCUGGUAGUCAAAGCAGAAAAUAAUGAGUGUCAUAGAUUAGAUAUUAAAGUUUAUUCUAUAAAUGAAAGUGUAAGCACUCCACCUCAAGAGUAAUUUGGCAACAUUGGAACUGAAAUCAUUAGACCGUUUCUGAAACC